rnacentral:lncRNA from 1 species
AAUUUGAAAAGCUCCUACGAAAGUUUUAAAAAGAAUUUCUAAGGUGUUUAAGGAGAACUUUAUUAAAUUUUGUUCAAUGGUAAAGUAGAUAAAAUUACUCUCCAAUGCUAGGUAAUGGCUCAGUUUGAUCACCCUCUUGGUUGCUAGAUUUAAUCUUCAAACGAAAAUUUCAUUGAACUUGGUAGUUUUUUUUUCGUAUGUUGUAAAAUAAAUCUUGAAUUUAAAAACAAUCUGCUUGAUAAAAUAUUCUGUUAGCAGAUAAAUUUUUCUUCUGUCUUUCAACCAAAAUAGUUUAGUUCGCUGGCUACAGUAAAUCUGUACAUUGCUUACAAUAAUAUUUCAAACUGAAAAUUUCAUUUUAAUGAAAAAUAUCAUUUUGACUGCAUUCAUUCACUAAUAUAAGUUGUUCACGAACCAGUAAUUAUAGUUUAUGUUUAAUUGCAGCUUGACCAUUGCUGAACGGAGAAUUUAACGGUAUGGAAAGAACUAUCAACCUUUUCUUGAUUAACAGACUCAAGCAGAAAUGAAUUCUGUCGUCAAGGACAUCGCAUCAAGAAUUAGCCACUUCUAUUGGAAUCUUCACCUAUGCUUUACUUCGUGAAACUGAGUCUCGGAUGCAAAGAGAAAAAUCUUCUACUAGAAUCUGCACAAAAUGGUUUACUACAUGAAAAUGAAUAGCAGAUGCAAAGAGUUGAAUAAGGACUCUAUACAGGUCAAGAACUCGUUAUAUUUUGUGGAAUUGUUUUAGUUUGUACACUUCAUAUUAAUUGCCUACACAUUGUAUUAGACUGAUACAGAUAUUUAAGAUCUUUAAUGUUACUUUCCUUUUUUUUUUAAGUCUUUCCUUACUCGAAUUUUUAACUCUAAGUAAGAUGUUGAACGUUUUAUGUAGUCAUCUAGAAAAUUGUAAGAUUUUAACUCUUAGAUAUUUUACUGUCUAUUUCAAGUUAUCAUUCAGAUUAGUCUGAUUGGAAACAUUGGGCGAUCACUUAGUUUUUGGAAAUUCUUACCUAACUGUUAAUUUUGCCCAACUUAUCUAAAUUUAGAUUGACUCAAUAAUUAGAAGCAACUAGUAUUCUUAUUGUAAGAAAGUGUUUAAAAUUCAACUCUUUCAAACUAAACACAUUCGUUGUAACUCUUUAUUCGCGUGUUUUUAAAGAGAUUCAACUUUAAGAUAAAAGGGAGAAAUUCUUAAAACUAAUUUCUAAAUUUUUGCCUGGUUCCAUUUUAUAAACUUUUUGUAUUACGUUUGUGCAAAACGUAUACAAAAUUCAGUACAGUUAAGAAAUAUUUGAAGUUGUGUAAGAUAUAAGAAUUUAAAGUAGUUCUUUACUGAUAAACAAAAUUGAACGGAAAACAAAUUUUCUUAAUGUAGUGAAUGUUAUUUAAUAACUAACGAAAUUUAAGAUUGUAAUCUGACUUAUCGUUUCAAACAAUUUUCUAAGAAUAAAAUCUGGAAUAAAACUGGUUAAAAUCUCUCUUGAGAAUUGUAUUUAAUAAUUCGCAAGUAUCUGAUUUUGAGUAUUUCAAACUAAGCUCUUAAAAUCACAUCGUUUGAUACGAAAUUUAUGGAAAAAAUCUCUAAACAGUUAUAUGGCAUUGAUAAAACAUACAAUUUGUUUACUUUCAUGUUAAACUUGAUUUUUAGUUAUGAAAAAUAAAUGGACUUUGUUAAUUUAGCUGUAAACCAUUUUUUUAAGUCCCUCCUAGCGCAGAAGGGAUGGAGACUAUACGAAUGGAGAAACCUAAAAACGAUUUUUGCUUCAAACUUAAUUAGAUAAUUAAACAUUUUUAAUAGUCUAUAUUUGCAUUAAAAUAAGUUAAUAAAAGCAAUUCUAAUAUAAGCACUUAACGGUUCUUCGUGUUUUGAUUGAGCUUAAAUCCAAUGAUUUUAUAGUGUUGUGGUGUAAUUGCAGUUGAAAGUAAAAUUUAAUAAAGCAAAUUGCCAACAAAAUGCGCACUUGGCUCAGGAAUUUUAAACGUAAUUUUAAACUAAAAUAAAUAAAAGAAUUAUUUUAGCAAGUAGCUAAUUUUGUCAAGGUAAUGCGCUAUUGAGUCUAGUCAAAGUACUUAACGUAAAUUGAAGAUAAAUUUUAAGUCUAUGACAAAUUUAUGAGUUUUAAUGAUACUUAUUCGCUGCUGGAGUAGCAAAAUAAUGACUAACUGUUCAGUUCAAACAGAAUAAUGACUAACUGUUCAGUAAUCACGUAACACACCUUAACAUUAACCAUAACACUAAUUCGCUGCUUCAGUGGUAGAAUAAGUAUAAGAGUAAACUCCUUUUUUGAAUAAAAGUAAAAUUAUGAUUGGGCUCAAUAGAAACUGUAUUGAAAAGUUAGUAAAUUAACCGGGCAAUUUUAUUUAAAAACAAUCUGAAUGACGAAAUUUUUGUAGGAAUUUUGUUACAAAAGUCACAGUGAGUUCUUCAAAGUAAAAGCUAAUUUACUAAUGACUAUGAAAAGGAUAUUUUAGUUGCAAUAAUCGCAAAUUGAAAAUAACUUACAAAUUGCGUUUAUUACAUUUGAGAGUACUUAUAACAAACUUCAUUAAAACCGUAAGCCUAAAUUCCAUUUUAGACAAAAUCAGAUUGGCAUUUAGUUCUAGCCCUACUUUAAUGUUAAAAGCAAAACUAGUAGAAAAUUAAGCUAAUGAAAUUUUAUAUGUAGAAGAAUUAUUUUUUUAUAUUUGAAAAAUUACUUUAAUAUAGAAAGUAAAUAUAAAAAGCUGUUUUCAAUGUCUUGUAUUUCAAUCUCUUGUAUUUGCUUGAAACAUUUUAAAACUUUAGUAAUGCAAAAGUUGCUCAAUUAACGUAUCGUCUUGCGUUUGUAGUCCUGCACAUCUCAUAAUACAAGCCUUCUAGCUAUACAAAACUAUUUGUAACUAAAGGAAAGACCCAGCGCAUAUGCAGAAUAUUUUUAAUUCAAAAAAUUAAUUAAAAUUCGAUCAUAAACAUUAAAAGUCUAUACAAUUUCCAGUUUAACAAAUUUUAACUAGAGUAGGCGAACCUUCUUAUGAAAUCAAAAGGCUUGAAGUAAUUUCUGAAAAUUUACAUGAUAUUUUAUUAGUUCAGGAAAUUAAAUUCUUACACAGGUUUUCUCUAAAGUAGUUUUAAAAUGUUUACCUGAAGUGUUUUUUAGUUAUAAUAGGUCAGCAAUGCUAUUUUGUGAGAGGACAGACUCUUAAAGUGCAUAAUACAAUAAUUCAUAGCUUGAUUUACAAAAUCAAGAGUUCAAGUUUUAAGGGAAAUAAUAAGGAUUUAAUCUUUUGCUUUAAUACUUCUUUUAAACACUAAUUUCGGCAGAGACAGUUUAGAGAUUUUUAAAUUUCAAUCUUAAGCUAUUGAGUCUUUUCUAAUCUUUUUCAGAAGAGCUUUUUAACCUAUCAUUCGAAGCCAGACUAUAGCUGAACGGAGAAUCUCACAGGAUGAAAGGGACUAUCAACCGUUUCUUGAUUAACAGACUCAACCAGGAAGGAAUUCUGACUUUAAGGACAUCGCAUCAAGAAUUAUCCACUUCUAUUGGAAUCUUCACCUAUGCUUUACUUCGUGAAACUGAGCCUCUGAUGCAAAGAGAAAAAUCUUCUACUAGAAUCUGCACAAAAUGGUUUACUACAUAAAAAUGAGUACCAGAUGUAACGAGUUGAAACAGGACUCUAUACAGGUCAAGAACUCUUUUUAAUUUUGUCGGAUUGUUUAAGUUUGUUCAAUUCACAUUAAUUGCCUACACAUUGUACUAGACUGAUACAGAUAUUUAAGAUCUUUGUUACUUUCCUUUCUUUUAAUGAAUAGUCUUGAGAAUUUUUUUAAAAACAUUAGGAUGUAAUUAAAAACAUUUACUUUAAAUUUUGGCUGUAAUAUUCCUAUAUUAUGAAUGCCAAAGAGCAGAUUUUUAUGAAUUUUAAUUUUCUAUUGAUUCUUCAAACCUUCACGGCCAACUCUUUAUUAUAUGUACAACAUUCAAAUAAAUAUUGGUUAAAGCAAAUACUGUUAGAUGCAAAAGUUAUUUUAACAAAAUUAUCGGGCAUGUAGAUAUAAUCUCCAGAUACGUCGAUUUCCUCACCACCGAAUAUCAAAAAUAGUGAAAAAAUCUUUCCCUAGCCAAAAUUUCAAUUCUAAUUAAGAUGUGGGACGUUUUAUGUAGUUAUCAGGAAAAUUGUAAGAUUUUAAUUCUUAGAUAUUUUACUGUCUAUUUCAAGUUAUCAUUCAGGCUAGUAUGAUUAGAAACAUCGGGCGAUCACUUAGUCUUUGGAAAUUCUUACCUAAGCGUUAAUUUUGCCAAAGUUAUCCAAAUUUAGAUUGACCCAAUAAUUCGAAGAAACUAGCAUUUUUACUGUGAAAAAGUAUUUUUUCAAAAUUCAGUGCUUUCAAACUAAAUGUAUUGAAUGCAACUCUUUAUUGGCGUGUUUUAAAAAACCAAUUCAAAUUUAAGAUAAUAAGAAUGCGAUUCUAAAAGAAUCCAAUGAAUAAUUAAAUAUAAAGUUUCGAGCAAUUUUAUAAGUAUUUUUGGUUGUAAGAUUUUGGUAUUUUUCUCGAUGCACAAAACAGACUAAGAAUACCUUUAAUGUUCUACUUAAUUCAGAAGUAUCUGAUUUUGUGUACAUCAGAAACUGAACUUAAAACCUCAUCGUUAGAUACGAAAUUUAUAGAACUAUAAAAGGGCAUUGAAAAAAAUAAAAUUUGUUUACUUUCAAAUUGAACUAUAUUUUUUGUCAUUAAAAAGAAAUGGAUUUAACUAUAAUUUUUUCCAAUUAAGUUAAUUUCCCGCCUAGUAAUGUAAAAACCUAAAUACAGUUUUAAAUUUAAUUAUAAAAUGAAGCAUUUUUAAUAGUCUACAUACUUACAUUAAGAUGAGUUAAAAAAAUUCUAAAAUAAAUACUUCUAAGCAAUUAGUCUUUGAUUUAGCUUAAAUCCAAGGAUUUUAUAGUAUUGUGGUGUAAUUGCAGUUUAAAGUGAAAAUUAAUAAGACAAAUUACCAACAAAAUUCGUUCUUGUCUCUGUUAUUUUAAACCAAAAUAAGAAAUUUAUUUUAGCAAGUAGCUAAUUUUGUAGAGGUAAUACGCUAUUCAGUCCAGUCAAAUUACUCAUGGUAAAUUAAAGAUAAAUUGCAUUUUGUCUAUGACAAAUUUAUAACUUUUAAUGAUGCUUAUUCGCUGCUGAAGUAGCAAAAUAAUGACUAACUGUUCAAUAAUCACGUAACAUAUCUUAACAUUAACCAUAACACUAAUUCGCUGCUUCAGUAGUAGAAUAAGUAUAAGAGUACAACAGUGAACUUUUGAGUAAAAUUAUAAUUGGGAUUGGACUGAAUAGUAUCUGCCUUAAAAAUUGGUAAUUUAACUGGAAAUUUUAUGUUUAGUAAUUAAAAGUGUGAUUUUUAUUAAAGUUUUAUAGAAAUUUAGCUUCAAAGGUCACUUCAAAGUAAAAACUAAUUUUCGAACGGCUGUAAAGAGGAUCUUUUAGCCGCAAUUCUCAUAAACUUGAAAUAACUUAAUCUCAAAUGUAAUAAGCGCAGUUUUUAUUUAUAACAAACUUCAUUCAAACCGUAAGUUUAAAUCCAUU